rnacentral:tRNA from 2 species
AGUCUUGUAGCUCAGCUGGUUAGAGCGCUACACUGAUAAUGUAGAGGUCGGCAGUUCGAGCCUGCCCAAGACUA